rnacentral:rRNA from 1 species
GAGCCAUUCGAGUGGCUGCCCCUUGAGAUUAGCGGCGGACGGCUGAGUACAUGUGGGCAACCUGCCUGUAAGACUGGGAUAACUUCGGGAAACCGGAGCUAAUACCGGAUAAUCCUUUCCGACACAUGUCGGAAAGCUGAAAGACGGUUUCGGCUGUCACUUACAGAUGGGCCCGCGGCGCAUUAGCUAGUUGGUGAGGUAGUGGCUCACCAAGGCGACGAUGCGUAGCCGACCUGAGAGGGUGAUCGGCCACACUGGGACUGAGACACGGCCCAGACUCCUACGGGAGGCAGCAGUAGGGAAUCUUCCGCAAUGGACGAAAGUCUGACGGAGCAACGCCGCGUGAGCGAUGAAGGCCUUCGGGUCGUAAAGCUCUGUUGUUAGGGAAGAACAAGUAUCGGAGUAACUGCCGGUACCUUGACGGUACCUAACCAGAAAGCCACGGCUAACUACGUGCCAGCAGCCGCGGUAAU